GGUCGCGUAGCUCAGUUGGUUAGAGCGUUGAUCUUAUGAGUCGAAGGUCGUGGGUUCGAGUCCCGUCGGGACCA
rfam:Jatropha curcas cultivar GZQX0401 scaffold42_51, whole genome shotgun sequence.